rnacentral:lncRNA from 1 species
CUGCGUCCUCCUCCAUUGUCAGCCCCGCGCCCAGCUCGGCACCCCGGAGGCCCUGGUCGCGCGCCCUCGGCCCUUGCGAGCCAGCGUCCCCCUCCCGGUUCCCUCGGCGCCCGGGCGCCUCCCUCCUCCCUCCCCCGCUCCCCGAGCUCCGCAUCCAGGGCUCCCGGCACCGCCAGCCUGGCCGCGGGACCCCGCAUUUCGGCAUCCUCCCUGCUUGGCCCAGGGUGCCCCGGCCCCUCGCCAGCGGCGGGCAUCGCGCGGCGUCUUCGGCAAACCCCCCUUUUAUCUCCCGAGGAAGCAAGUUGGGCAGAUCGAUUUAUUAAUUUCUGUGGCAGAGGUGGGUCGGUGACCGGGGUGCGCCCUCAGGGCUGCAGCGGGGAGGCGCCGUGGCUCCCUUCGGCCCCUGCACUGCCCGGACAAGAGGGUUUUGUUUCCAGACCCCCGGCGCCCCCCGAAACAAUGAUGCCAUGGGCAUGGCGGGCUCACCUGGUGCUGCACCGCGGGCUCCGGGCGCCCGGUGGCCUAGUGCGCGCCAAUCCCGGCCGCAGGUUCGGCCCGCGUGCCGCCGGUGCUGGGCAGGACCCUGCCUUUCUUGGGGUUGUAUCUGUGCGUGUCAAUGGCGGCAAGCGGCAGUUCUCCGGGCCGCGGAUAGUAGCGGGGGGAGGAGGAGGAGGGAGAAGGGAUUGCUCCUUCUCCACAUAACCACCUCUAGGAGGAGUCGCUCAGCCUCAUCCCCCGCCAGCCCAGGCUCCGCGACGGGUCCGGGGGCUUUCGUGGGGCUUGAUGAGCUAUUGUCCUUCUGCAGUGGAACCACAGGGCCAGUUCGCGGAGCUGUCGGCUGCGAGGACACCGCUUCCCUAGAGCCCGGCACGGAGGCCUUGUGGUCACCAGCCACAGGCUCCAGAUAGCUCGACCCACCUUUGCUGGGCGAAAGAGGUGUGGGCGUUCAUCUGCCCAUUACGGGAUGAGAAGGUGAACGAAAAAAAAAAAAAGCAAGCCACGUUGGAUGCAGCCCUGAUCUGAAAUUACCAAACACGUUACUGUGUCGCGCACGGCGCCGAAGGAACCGAGAAUUUAUUCUGGUGAUUCGCUAGUAGUGAUGGAGAUCCAGAUGUGCUUCCUGGUGGAUGAAGACCAUGUGCCCCGGCAUCAUUUAAAAAUUGGAUUGCGUUAAUUUGCCAUCUCCCGACGGUUAUUGAGGUUAAGCACAAAGAGAGUGUCUAAAGAAGCAAUUUUUUGUAUUAGUUUCUGGAAAAUUCAUUGUGAUGGCGGUGCAGUGGACAGUAUCAGGUGACACUGGGCGCGUGUAGUUGUUUGGUCCCUGAUGAAAAACCACGUUGUCUUUUGUACUGUGAACCCUGUCAAGGGCACAUGGCUCUAGGGCCAGUCACCGUAAGCAUUCAGUUGAAUGGACGGUCCAUGGUGCCUCAGAUUUUUUCCUGCAUGAAUCAGAGGACUCUGGGAGGAAACCUUUUGAUUUCUGCAAAAAAAAAAUAAAAAAUAAAAAAUAAAAAAUGUGAAGCC